rnacentral:tRNA from 1 species
GGAGUUGUAGUUUAACGGCUAGAACGUUAUACUGUGAAUAUAAAGGACUAAGUUCGAUUCUUAGCUUCUCCCCA